CAAGGAGCAGCCUGAUUACUCCUCCCACAGCCUCCUGGCUGAAGGAAAAUUAACCCUCAGGCUGCAGCUGUAUUUCAUCUUGAAUGACAGGAAGGGAGGGCAGAUCCCAGCCAUUUUUCAUGUCCUGCCCAACUGCUGCUUUCAGUGAUUUUUUUUUUCGUACAUGCAAUUGGAAGAUAAAUAACUGCCCCUUAUCCACCUAAGGAGAGGUGAGCUGUUACAGAAUUAUUCCUAAAUGUGUGUUGUUACCAUAUUAUCUUCAGCUUUGCAAUUUUAAAUCAGUCACUCAACUUUUUCACUUUAAUUCUAAAUAACUCACAAAAAUAUAUGAAAAAGAAGAAAUUAAUACCAAUUGAGAAUAGUACCCUAACUCCUGGUCAGCAGUGGGUAAAAUGAAAUGAUUUUGUCAGUUUCUAUUCUCAUUGUAUGUUCCUGGAUAACAUACUGAAACCCUGACAUAUCUUGGAAUUACACUUCAGAUUUACUUUGAAGCUUUAGUUUUUCAGACCUUUCCAGUAUCCAUUAGUAGAUAGACAGAACUACACAUGCUGUCUGGGUUCAUGGCUCGUGAUGUCCUUUGUAAAUGUAUUCCUCAAAGUUUCCAGAAGAAAAAGAUACCAGCUGGCUCAGAAAUACUACCAUCAUCUCACUGUGCCAGCUUGAGUAAUGCUCUUGCCAGCAAGCAGCUGGAGGAAAGGAUGAUCAGAGCGAGAUGAAGAAGAUGAGAAAAAAAGUGAAAUCAAAGUUGUUUGUCCCCUAUCACCCCAGCAGUAUCAACACUUUGAAAGGAAAGAGGGAGAGAGAAGAAGUGAAAGACCUCAGAGGACCAGGAGAAACAUCUGAUUUCUUGUCCCUUGUGGCCCUGGCAUAUGGACCCUCAUGAGUAUUGGCCUUUCUGUUCUGCUUUUCAACACGGAUUUGAAACCUCUGGGGAGUCCUUUGUUCUGAUAUGCUGCUGACACCCAGCUGUACAUGUCUUCUGCAACAGAUGUGCUCUCCAGAUGUCAUCAGGACUUAAACAGAAGUUUACAUGGAGCAGCGGCCAGCUACACUUGGCUCCAGAGGAAGAGGAAGCUGAUAAAUGAAGGCAAUGCUCUGGGAAACCUGCCCCAGUGUUGGCUUCAGCUGCUGUCACUGAGGUAGACUGGAAGGUUCUGCACAGACAAAAGAGAGGUUUCUGCACCUUUGCAAUUAGCGAGAGCUUGAACAUGUUCAGUUUGUUGGCCACUGCUAGACUAAGUCAACGCAGGCGUUGGAGGUCUCAAAUCCAUCAGCUGGUCUUACUCUGGGGCGUAAUUAUGAGUGGAACAACCCAAGCUGGCUUUGCUAUUAAAAUUGAACACAUUCCAAGGCGAACCUUGUUUUGAAGCCUGGAUGAGCACAAAACCAAAGGACACUCACAACAAACCUAGCUUGUAUGUGGUCAGUGCAAAGGUCAACACACCAGUUAGACACCUCCCUGGGCAGCACACAGCACACCUUUCAUUUUGUGUGGAGUACCAGAAGAAAUUUGUAGUGUGCAGCUGUAGAACCAUGCAGAAUGUUGCUGAUGGAAUAUUCUUGUUUGGAGAUAUUCAGGAAUGCUUACUGCCUCUUUGGAUAAUACGUUGAGAGCUGGUGAAUGAUGCUGCACAGUAAUAGAACAACUAGCAUAUGUUCUUUCUCUCAAGGCAAAAAAAGUUGGUUAUGCAUCAUUUUUUUUCUACGUCUGCCAUGCAGACUUUGGUGCUGAUAUUCCAGAUUUGUUAGGUAUUUCACUCUGUGGAGACUCGUAAUUAGCUGAGCAAGACAAUUUCCCUUGGCAAAAAAAACCCAAAAAACAAACAAAAAAACAAAAAAGCACAGGAUGAGGUUAAUAUAUCACUUAAAUGUCACCUCUAAUUCAUUUUGAAAGUUUAAAUGGUUUGGUUUUGGAGGAGGGUUGGAGAAGGGGAAAGUAGGUCAAGUUUCUUGUCAGUUUUCUAUUAACAGGUAAAUUCGAUCAUGUUAGCAGUAAUAGAAGGAAGAUAAGAUGAAAAAAAAAACCAAAAAACCCAAACUACGCAGUCGAUACAGCUCACUGUCCAACAGUUAGGACAGUCAGCACUGGACAGAUUGAGGAUGGGUGAAACGAGAAGCUGGGUAGUCUUUUCUUUUUUCCUCUUUUGCUUUGUAAUUUCAUGUGAAAUGACCCAUGUUCCUGCUGUAUCUAAAUGCACUGAUAGUUCAAACAAAACAAAAAUACAAAUGAAGAAAAUGUGGUUCUAGCCCAGAAAUAAUUUAGUGGAGCCAUUCUGAGUUACUGCUGUGCUGUUCUAUUUUCUGUUGUUGCAGCCUCUCAGCCCACCUGGACAUUCCAGCUGCUGGACCAUUUUUUCAUGUCAGUCACCUUCAGACUCCCAUUUUAAACAGUGGGUCUUUUGUUAUCAGAAAUCAACUUCAUCUUCAAAACAGUUAUCUUUUAAAUUACUGUCAUGGAAAGGAGGCGAGGAAGAAGGUUUAUUUUCCAAAUUUUUCUCCUUGCCUUUUAUGAACAAAGACUCUGGGAGGAAAGGCAUCAUUAACACAGCAUCAAAUGAUCCAAAGAAAGAAUAACCUUUUCUCAAAGCAGGGAUGGCUAUUUGAUGAAGAAUUGGCUUAAUUUUUAGCCACCUUCUCCUUUCAGAUGAAAAGCAAUAGAAAUUCAUGUCAAAGAAACCAAUCAUGGUGAAAUCUCUGUCCAAUAGGCAGGCUGUAACAGAAAGGGAUGAUAGCACAAAGGGCUGAAAAAAGCGGCUCUUCUUUCUCUCUUCCUUUUGUUGUGAGCACAAAGAUAAGUGCGUGGCAAUCAGAUGAUUUUAAUGAACAAUCCAGUUGUUUGGCCUGGAUGGUGUAAUUCCAGAUGCAAUCUGUGGAAGUUGUUUGAAUUUGAACUGCUUCCUUUCUAAAUUUUCUCUCCUCUGGCAGCAGCCAGCCCUGAUGCAAUGGAAAUGCCUUCUCUGGAGGGUGCACAUAAAGGUGUGUGAGACAGCAGUUGCAAGAGAAAAUGGUGGGGUUUGUAUUGAAUGCUUUUUUCCUCCACACAAUUUGCAGGGGGUCUCUUCAAUCACAACGUGCUGAACUGCUCUGAUUUUGAGUAAGGAAUUCCAUCUGCACUGAGUAACAUCUGUGGUGAUUAUAGCCCUAAGCUUUAGAGCUAAAAAUGCUACGUGCAUGAAUGUAAAAACAAAAUAUGGUCUUUUUUUUUUUUUUUAAUUACACUUAACAGCUUGUUUUGGUAAUAUGGGUAUGGCAGACAUGAUGUAGAAGUGGGAGACCACUGAGAGGAGUAAUUGAGCACAAUGGCACAAAGAGUUUCAAUUAAUAAGUACAUAGAGAAUCUUCAAUAUUCUGUGACACUAUAUAGUAGCAACAUGAUUGGAGAUGUCAUGAAAAAACUGUUUAUUAGCACUAUGUUUUUUUCCCAAAUGCAUUGAGAGUUCUCUUAAACUUCCCUAGCAGUUCAUAGAAUCACAGAACAGCUGUGUUCAAAGGGACCUAAAAACCCAUCCAGUCCCAAGCCCUGCCAUGUGCUGGGUAACACCCACUAGAUCAGGCUGCCCAGGCCUUGAACAC
ensembl:lncRNA